rnacentral:lncRNA from 1 species
CUCAGCAGAUGCUCCUCUGGAUAAACAGUGAGAACAGAGAACAAAAGCACAAAGUCAACUGGCCUUUUCUUUUCUGAGCUUUCUACCAGCUGAUCCCACUUCCUGUUUCUCUAAGGGCUUCCCUGACAGGCAACUUAUUUCAUAUUUGGUCACUGCCCGCUUGCCUUCCUGGGUGAGUCAGUGCUGCUGACCUUGUACCCUUCAAGCUCCAAGGCUCCAGUGUGCACUCUGCCCAUUUCCUGAUCUUCCCAGGUGACACUCCCCUCCCCCGACACUGAACAGAGAAAGCGUCCCGCCCACAGCCCACAGCCCACAGUCCUCUGCCUCUGAGACAGACAUGCAUGCACUGGGGACGUGAGUCACGGCAUUCACCCAUCUGAAGCUAUUAUUGGAAUGGCUGUGCACGCCGUGCACGCCUGCUUCCCGUAUUCUACAGGCCAGGGCUCCAGGAGCUGCUAACCACACACUGCUCUGCCCGAGAUGCCACUUGGAUGAUCACGAGGUGGUUGCUUGGAAAGGGUGAAUGCUUCCAAGAAAGCAGAAACCAGACAGCUUUCAGCAUAAGAAGAGAUGAGGCCUGGUGGCAGAGGCUGCCGAGGGACAGCUAAAGGACCUUCUUCCAGAGCAAGAGAGAUGACAUGGGUGGUGGCCAUGGCCGAGAGGGUAA